GAUGAACGCUAGCGGCAGGCUUAAUACAUGCAAGGCGAGGGGGCAGCAAUGUCACCGUCGUACGGGUGCGUAACACGUAUGCAACCUGCCCACAACUGGGGGAUAACCUUCCGAGAGGGGAGGAUAAUACCCCAUAAAACAGGGAUCCCGCAUGGGAAUAUUGUUAAAGCUUCGGCGGUUGUGGAUGGGCAUGCGGACGA
rnacentral:rRNA from 1 species